UACAGAGGUCUCAAGCGUUGUUCGGAUUCAUUGGGCGUAAAGGGUGCGUAGGCGGCGCGGUAAGUUGGGUGUGAAAUCUCGGGGCUUAACUCCGAAACUGCAUUCGAUACUGCCGUGCUUGAGGACUGGAGAGGAGACUGGAAUUUACGGUGUAGCGGUGAAAUGCGUAGAUAUCAUUUGGAACGCCAAUGGUGAAAACAGGUAGCUGGGGGUGUGCUGACACUGAGACACGAAAGCCAGGGGAGCAAACGGG
rnacentral:rRNA from 1 species